rnacentral:rRNA from 1 species
AUUGAACGCUGGCGGCAGGCCUAACACAUGCAAGUCGAACGAGUGGCGGACGGGUGAGUAAUGUAUGGGAAACUGCCCGAUGGAGGGGGAUAACUACUGGAAACGGUAGCUAAUACCGCAUACCAUCGGAUGAGCCCAGAUGGGAUUAGCUAGUGGGGGGGGUAACGGCUCACCUAGGCGACGAUCCCUAGCUGGUCUGAGAGGAUGACCAGCCACACUGGAACUGAGACACGGUCCAGACUCCUACGGGAGGCAGCAGUGGGGAAUAUGGCACAAUGGGCGCAAGCCUGAUGCAGCCAUGCCGCGUGUAUGAAGAAGGCCUGAGGGUUGUAAAGUACUUUCAGCGAGGAGGCGUUACUCGCAGAAGAAGCAUCGGCUAACUCCGUGCCAGCAGCCGCGGUAAUAC